AGCUGAUAUGUUCCCUCUUAGACUCUCCCUCAUUCCCUAUCCUUUUGCACACUCACACUCUAUAUAAGGCUCACUCACACACUCAUUUGAGCAGCUUUGAAUCUCUGCAUCUGUCCUUCAAAAACACACGUUAAUCUGAAUUGAAGUCGAGGUUCAUUCUGGGGUUUGUUCUUGCCGUUUUCUGCUUAUUUGAUGUUGCCUCCUGAGUUUUACCGAGUUUCUUCUCUAGUUUUAGCUUUUAUUUGGCCACUCUAAGUUCUAUUACUGCAUUUUAAGGUCUUGAAUGACAGAUUUUAAACAUCACUGAAGCCAUUUGAGGCAAUCAGCUCUCCCCUACGUUAUUGUAGAAGCUGCUGGGUUGUGGAAAUCGUUUGUAAUGACAUGCGGAUUAAUUAAUUACAAUGCUAUAGCCUGGUUUCUGAUUUCAGUAGUUUUUUCUUGUAUCAAUUAAUUUGUAACUAAGUGAAACUUCUUCCAUUGAGUAGUAUUUUUGAUUUAUGAGUGCACUAUUCAGUUAAUUUAGUUCAAGAUAAUGUUAUUGCUUCAAGUAUGGAAUUAAAUGCAACCUUUUGGUCCAUUAAUAUGGUUUUUAUAUCUCAAUA